rnacentral:rRNA from 1 species
AUUGAACGCUGGCGGCAUGCCUUACACAUGCAAGUCGAACGGUAACAGGUCUUCGGAUGCUGACGAGUGGCGAACGGGUGAGUAAUACAUCGGAACGUGCCCGAUCGUGGGGGAUAACGGAGCGAAAGCUUUGCUAAUACCGCAUACGAUCUACGGAUGAAAGCAGGGGACCGCAAGGCCUUGCGCGGACGGAGCGGCCGAUGGCAGAUUAGGUAGUUGGUGGGAUAAAAGCUUACCAAGCCGACGAUCUGUAGCUGGUCUGAGAGGACGACCAGCCACACUGGGACUGAGACACGGCCCAGACUCCUACGGGAGGCAGCAGUGGGGAAUUUUGGACAAUGGGCGCAAGCCUGAUCCAGCCAUUCCGCGUGCAGGAUGAAGGCCCUCGGGUUGUAAACUGCUUUUGUACGGAGCGAAAAGGCUCUCUCUAAUACAGGGGGCUCAUGACGGUACCGUAAGAAUAAGCACCGGCUAACUACGUGCCCAGCAGCCGG